UCUUGCGUGUGCUCUAAGUUAAACAUUUCUGAUCGUAUCUUCACCAAGUUGAAUCAGAUUUCUUCGACUGUAACUCCUCCGCCAAGUUCAUAAUAGCAAGCAAAAUCACCUGAGGCACUUCAGAAUUAUAGCCCUUGAAUUAUCCAAAAUCCGCUUUUUUCUUCAAAAGUAUACUUGUAGUGAGUAAACAGUAUAUAAAGACUGAUUGCUUUUUAGAUGAUUAGGCAGUUUUGGGAGAAAUGCGCUUUUCUCAAAAGCAGCUCUAGUUCAUAAAAUGAAUUUUCAUUGUCGUAAGGUGACACAUUUUGUUUUGGUCGUCAUUAACUGACUGAAAUAGGUGUUUGUCAGCCAGUAAAGAACAGUUUUGCCAUUAAUCAUGUAGACAUAGUACUAGAGCCGAUUUACGCAAUCGAAUACCGCCGGAAGUAGAACAUUUAUGUCAACACCGGUUUCGUAUUUUCACGUGAAAUCGGCCGAAAACUGAGAGGUUAUCAACAAAUUAUAAGUUUACGGGUACCAUGAGGAUUUUUCAUGCAUUUAAACGACAGAAGUACAAGCGAACAGAUGACACAUUAAAGUGGCUGCAGAAGCUUGAAAAGUUAGAUAGAGCAGGGACAGUCAAAACUGUGGGAUAAUACUUCUAUGGUGUCCAGCAUGUCUAGUCAGGUUGACAGAAGUGAAAGAUGGUCUGAUGGUACAAUGAUGUACAAAUGAUACUCUUUAACAACUUUAACAUGUCAAAGUGUAAAAUGUUCUGUGGAUUCAUAUGAUGAGAAUGCCAAUGUUGAUCUGUAUGACUUAAUUAAACACAGAUAUUUAUACCUUCAGAUAUAUACCUGUGAAAUCUUCAGUGUCACCGUUCAGCUAUUGUUCAAGAUCAGUGUCUGCAGCUUGCACAGUUUAGUAUAGAAGAGCCUUCUGAAUCAAUUUUGUUAAUAUUUGCUGUUAUUGUAGGACGCAUAUGUAGAGAGCAACAGGUCCUGUCCAACUGUGCAUGUAAAUGUGAUUCAGAAACUUUGAGAAUAUGUAAACAUUACACUGUUAUAAUUUACAAAAUACUGUGUCUUGUAGUGUAUCAGUACUGUUUUGUCUCAGUUUAUAGCACAGUA
rnacentral:lncRNA from 1 species